rnacentral:rRNA from 1 species
AUGCACACCCGUCCGUGGAGGUUUAUGCCCACGGAGCCGCCACCACUAGGGCCAUACGUCGAAGGGGUCGGUGCACGGGGUACAUCACUUGCCCAGUCCCUAUACUGGCCAACAACGGCAGCGUAUGUGGACGUUGUUUCCUCCUUGCAGGCACCGUCGCGGUGCUCCCACUUCCUUCGGGUUACUCCGGGUGAAAACUUGAUUUGCGGGAUCGGACGGUGGCAGCUACUGUCAUGCCCUUCUCGGAGGCACUGUUUUGAAGUCCUCGCACCGUCGUCGGCCAUCUCACCUCUCCUCGAUGGUUCGCUCAUGGGGAUCUCCGUAGGCUCAAGGCGGUGCUUCUUUGCUCAUCCUUAG